ensembl:lncRNA
ACUCUUUGACAGGGGAACUGAAGAUCAGUAAUCACUCUGAAAGCUUUGUUGGAAUUUACACCUGUGAGGUGAGCAACAUCGUGGGCAAAGAGCGCUGCAAAUUCAGCCUGCGGGCCCUUAAACCUCCGAGUAAAGCAGGGGUGGUGGUGGGGACCGUGGUGGGAUGCCUGCUGCUCAUCGUGAUCGUCCUGAUAAUCAUCUGGCUGCUGGUCUACAGGCGACGGCCUGGCCACGAGAAGGAAGUGUCCAAUGAGAUCAGAGAGGAUGUUCCGCCCCCCGAGAGCCGCCCAACCAGCCGCGUCUCCAGCCACCACAGGGGAGUGGCCUACAGUCCGGUGGGUGGAGCCUCCCAGCUCCCGUCUUCCUCGAGCACCACCUACUCCACGGCCAAAUACGAGUACGACAGUCGAUUUGGCCACGCUGUCUGAGGUCUGGGUCAGGCACGUCUCUGACUGCUGGGUCACCAAGAGCAUCGCUUCUCAUCUCUCAGCUGUACAGCAGAAUAUGCUCUGCCAUGCUGCCACUGCCAGGCUAUGUUUCUGGCAUGGUGAAGAUCUCAGGGGUGUGAUACAUACGUACAUGUCCUAUGUUAUGGGACAUAGGAGGUCUUUAUAUUUAUAUUUAAGUUUAUGGUAUUCGGCAGAUGCUAUUGUCCAAAGCAACUUGCAAAAACAUUAAAAAAAUAUUCAGACAUUCCUAACAGUCAAAAAUAAAGCAUUAUGCAUAAUAUAACAAAAUGUGUAUAACAAUAUUA